UACGAAGGGGGCUAGCGUUGCUCGGAAUCACUGGGCGUAAAGCGCACGUAGGCGGACUCUUAAGUCAGGGGUGAAAUCCUGGAGCUCAACUCCAGAACUGCCCUUGAUACUGAAGGUCUUGAGUUCGGGAGAGGUGAGUGGAACUGCGAGUGUAGAGGUGAAAUUCGUAGAUAUUCGCAAGAACACCAGUGGCGAAGGCGGCUCACUGGCCCGAUACUGACGCUGAGGCACGAAAGCGUGGGGAGCAACAGGGAUUAAGAAACCCGGG
rnacentral:rRNA from 1 species